GUAGGCAAGAUAGUUUUCCCGCCGCCCCCACAACCAGACACCGUUGACUGCCCUAUACGAUCCAGCCAAAAUGGAUGCGUAGCCUACGGACAUAACAUUACGGCAGGAGGAACCUUGUCUCUCGAAGAUCCUUGCGUUAAUCUUGAAUGCAGCGCAAAUGGACGGAGACUUACAGUCGAAGGGUGCUCGCCAAGCGGAAAUAUUUGUGGAGUGGGAGCCCCGGUCGACGGCCAACAUUCACUAAAAUGGCCGUUUUGCUGUGCAAGAUGCCGCUCAACAGAUGUUCCUGUAUAUCCGCACCCUGUCAGGCCCACGCCCGCACAUAGCCCAUGGCAACUAGUCCCACCUCAGUUCGGCACUCCCCGACGCCACAGGCCAUCACCUGCAACGAACUGAGCUGAAGCUUGCGUCUAGUUAUGCAAUGCUCUUUUUCUUUCUCCUGUUGGAAAUAUCUUCACCUGAUUUUCAAGGAUUUACAAGGGAGUCGCAGGAACUACAUUUAGAAAAUUACACGGGAUCAUUUACAUAGCUUGUAAGCUUCCCUUAUAGAAAUAAAGAAACAUUGGUUUAGGGAA